rnacentral:lncRNA from 1 species
ACUUUGAUUAAAUACAUUUUCUGUCCUCAUCUCCAGCUCCCUUUACUGUCCUCAUCUCCAGAUCCCUUUAUUGUCCUCAUCUCCCCUUUACUGUCCUCAUCUCCAGCUCCCUUUACUGUCCUCAUCUCCAGCUCCCUUUACUGUCCUCAUCUCCAGCUCCCUUUACUGUCCUCAUCUCCAGCUCCCUUUACUGUCCUCAUCUCCCCUUUACUGUCCUCAUCUUCAGCUCCCUUUACUGUCCUCAUCUCCAGAUCCCUUUACUGUCAUCAUCUCCAGCUCCCUUUACUGUCCUCAUCUCCAGAUCCCUUUAUUGUCCUCAUCUCCAGAUCCCUUUACUGUCGUCAUCUCCAGCUCCCUUUACUGUCCUCAUCUCCAGCUCCCUUUACUGUCCUCAUCUCCAGAUCCCUUUAUUGUCCUCAUCUCCAGCUCCCUUUACUGUCCUCAUCUCCAGCUCCCUUUACUGUCCUCAUCUCCCCUUUACUGUCCUCAUCUCCAGCUCCCUUUACUGUCCUCAUCUCCAGCUCCCUUUACUGUCCUCAUCUCCAGCUCCCUUUACUGUCCUCAUCUCCAGCUCCCUUUACUGUCCUCAUCUCCAGAUCCCUUUACUGUCCUCAUCUCCAGAUCCCUUUAUUGUCCUCAUCUCCCCUUUACUGUCCUCAUCUCCAGCUCCCUUUACUGUCCUCAUCUCCAGCUCCCUUUACUGUCCUCAUCUCCAGCUCCCUUUACUGUCCUCAUCUCCAGCUCCCUUUACUGUCCUCAUCUCCCCUUUACUGUCCUCAUCUUCAGCUCCCUUUACUGUCCUCAUCUCCAGCUCCCUUUACUGUCAUCAUCUCCAGCUCCCUUUACUGUCCUCAUCUCCAGAUCCCUUUAUUGUCCUCAUCUCCAGAUCCCUUUACUGUCGUCAUCUCCAGCUCCCUUUACUGUCCUCAUCUCCAGCUCCCUUUACUGUCCUCAUCUCCAGAUCCCUUUAUUGUCCUCAUCUCCAGCUCCCUUUACUGUCCUCAUCUCCAGCUCCCUUUACUGUCCUCAUCUCCCCUUUACUGUCCUCAUCUCCAGCUCCCUUUACUGUCCUCAUCUCCAGCUCCCUUUACUGUCCUCAUCUCCAGCUCCCUUUACUGUCCUCAUCUCCCCUUUACUGUCCUUAUCUCCAGCUCCCUUUACUGUCCUCAUCUCCAGCUCCCUUUACUGUCCUCAUCUCCAGAUCCCUUUACUGUCCUCAUCUCCAGAUCCCUUUACUGUCCUCAUCUCCAGCUCCCUUUACUGUCCUCAUCUCCAGCUCCCUUUACUGUCCUCAUCUCCCCUUUACUGUCCUCAUCUCCAGCUCCCUUUACUGUCCUCAUCUCCAGCUCCCUUUACUGUCCUCAUCUCCAGAUCCCUUUAUUGUCCUCAUCUCCA